rnacentral:rRNA from 1 species
GCAAGUCGAGCGGUAACAUUUCAAAGCUUGCUUUGAAGAUGACGAGCGGCGGACGGGUGAGUAAUGCUUGGGAAUAUGCCUUAUGGUGGGGGACAACAGUUGGAAACGACUGCUAAUACCGCAUAAUGUCUACGGACCAAAGGGGGGGAUCUUCGGACCUCCCGCCAUUUGAUUAGCCCAAGUGAGAUUAGCUAGUUGGUAAGGUAAUGGCUUACCAAGGCGACGAUCUCUAGCUGGUUUGAGAGGAUGAUC